UGGGGAAUAUUGGACAAUGGGCGCAAGCCUGAUCCAGCCAUGCCGCGUGAGUGAUGAAUGCCCUAGGGUUGUAAAGCUCUUUCACCGGUGAAGAUAAUGACGGUAACCGGAGAAGAAGCCCCGGCUAACUUCGUGCCAGCAGCCGCGGUAAUACGAAGGGGGCUAGCGUUGUUCGGAGUUACUGGGCGUAAAGCGGACGUCGGCGGACUUUUAAGUCAGGGGUGAAAUCCCGGGGCUCAACCCCGGAACUGCCUUUGAUACUGGAAGUCUUGAAUAUGGUAGAGGUGAGUGGAAUUCCGAGUGUAGAAGUGAAAUUCGUAGAUAUUCGGUGGAACACCAGUGGCGAAGGCGGCUCACUGGACCAUUACUGACGCUGAGGUGCGAAAGCGUGGGGAGCAAACAGG
rnacentral:rRNA from 1 species